rnacentral:rRNA from 1 species
CCUACGUGUGGCAGCAGUCGAGAAUCAUUCACAAUGGGGGAAACCCUGAUGGUGCGACGCCGCGUGGAGGAAUGAAGGUCUUCGGAUGGUAAAUUCCUGUCAUAUGGGAGCGAAGUAAACAGUUAGUACUACAAGAGGAAGAGACGGCUAAGUCUGUGCCAGCAGCCGCGGUAAUACAGAGGUUGCGAGCGUGGUGCGGACUCACUGGGCGUAAAGCGUGGGUAGGCAGUCUCGUAAGUCGUGUGUGAAAGGCGCGGGCGCAACCGGCGGACGGCAUAUGAGACUGGGUGACUAGAGUAAUGGAGGGGGCACCGGAAUUCUUGGUGUAGCAGUGAAAUGCGUAGAUAUCGAGAGGAACACUAGUGGCGAAGGCGGGUUCCUGGACAUUAACUGACGCUGAGGCACGAAGGCCAGGGGAGCGAAAGGGAUUAGAUACCCCUGUAGUC